rnacentral:rRNA from 1 species
ACGCGAAAGGGACUUCGGUCCUGAGUAAAGUGGCGCACGGGUGAGUAACGCGUGGAUAAUCUACCCAAUGAUCUGGGAUAACAUCUCGAAAGGGGUGCUAAUACCGGAUAAGACCACGGAGUCUUCGGAUUCUGCGGUAAAAGGUGGGGACCUUCGGGCCUACCGUCAUCGGAUGAGUCCGCGUACCAUUAGCUAGUUGGUGGGGUAAUGGCCUACCAAGGCUACGAUGGUUAGCUGGUCUGAGAGGAUGAUCAGCCACACUGGAACUGAGACACGGUCCAGACUCCUACGGGAGGCAGCAGUGGGGAAUUUUGCGCAAUGGGGGAAACCCUGACGCAGCAACGCCGCGUGAGUGAUGAAGGCUUUCGGGUCGUAAAGCUCUGUCAGAGGGGAAGAAAUGUAUAGGUGCUAAUACCACUUAUACUUGACGGUACCCUCAAAGGAAGCACCGGCUAACUCCGUGCCAGCAG